rnacentral:lncRNA from 1 species
CUUUUUCAUUAAGUUAGAGGCUCUUAAGAUCAACUGUUUGAAUUGCAAUUUGGUUCAUGAUUUAUGCAUAAGAUAUAUUAACCAAAUAACAAGCCUCAAGGUGUAUCAUAAAGAUUUUCAGAUUUAAAUUUCAGAUGAUACAUUUUGGAGAGUAUUAGGAUCACUUUUCAUUUAGUAUUCUUUCUCUCUCCUUUAGUUAUAGAUUUAUGCGAUUAAGUUCCAUAAGAUCUCUCCUUC